CACACCGCCCGUCACAUCACGAAAGCCAGUUGUACUAGAAGCCGGUAAUUCGACCGCGAGGAGAUAGCCGUCCAAGGUAUGACUGGUGAUUGGGGUG
rnacentral:rRNA from 1 species